CUCUGCCCAGCACUAGAGCAGAUAUAAAGAAUGACACACACCCUCCUCCUGUGGAGAAAUGGAGAAGAUCAACAUUGAUUGUCUACUGGAAGAAUUGGACGAGGCUAAAUCAAGACGCUCAUUAAAAUCUUAUCCUAAAAGAAUCAUAUUAAUAAGACACGCUGAAUCUGAAGGUAAUAUUGAUAACUCUAUAUGCAACUACACCUGACGCUAAACUGAUACCAGAACUGGCUCCAGUCACUAAUACUACUCUGCCACACCAACGAUCCAUCUUUCCCUUCAGCAGUCUUGUUCCAAAUGCAAGGCCCUGCAAGCAAUUAUAGCAUGCCAAAUUGCCAAUAGAUCUUGCAUGCACAAGAAUUUUUAUACCUAGAUCUGUAGUUUAAUAAAAAUUUUAAUGAAUUAA